GAGGGAAAUUUAAAGUCGGACCUGCCCACUGAAUAUUUUUUUUGAAGGGCCGCGGUAUUUUGACCGUGCAAAGGUAGCAUAAUCAUUAGUCUUUUAAUUGAAGGCUAGAAUGAAUGGUUUGACGAAGUAUUGACUGUCUCUUUAUGAAAAAUGAAACUUAACCUUUGAGUCAAAAGGCUUAAAUAAUAAUAGAGGACGAGAAGACCCUAUAGAGUUUUAUACAGAUAAUAGGUAAAAUUUUUUAGUGGUUGUAGAUUUUGGUUGUUAUUUGUAUUAUGUUGGGGUGACAUAAAGAUAUAAAAAACUCUUUAUUAUUGUAAACAUAAAUUUAUGAAUAAGUGAUCCAUUAAUAAUGAUUAUAAGAUAAAAUUACCUUAGGGAUAACAGCGUAAUUUUCUUUGAGAGUUCAUAUCGAAAAGAAAGUUUGCGACCUCGAUGUUGGACUAAGAUAAUGGCUUGGUGUAGCAGCUAAGUUAAUAAGUCUGUUCGACUUUUAAAAUCUUAC
rnacentral:rRNA from 1 species